AACCAAUCUUAUCAGAUUUCUUAAACCAAUCUCCAAAUAUGAAAUCAAUUUGAUCAACAUAAUCAUUAGUAUAGAAAUCUAUUUUUUUUAUCAUAGAAUAUUCAUCAGUCUUUAUAACUACUAGUUAUUAGAUAAUGAUGAUCUUGAAAUCAUAUUUGUGACAUCUUUUAAAUCUUUAAUAAGCGACUUGAAAUUUUUUUUUUUCUUUAGGCUGAACAAAGACUUUUAC
rnacentral:lncRNA from 1 species